UCAACUGAUAUAUGACAACAAAAUUGUUGUUGGAAGAGACUGCUUUGUUGGAGAAUUUCCACAAACACCUAGAGCGUAAAAGUUGACCCAAAUAAUAAAUUUUCAAAUCAUACAUAGAACUACCACCACCAAUUUUCAAAUAGGACCCAAAGAAAACACCGACACUCAGUUUUUCCUUAAUCACACAUAGAAAAUAAAAAAAAAUUAGAGACUGUGAAAAGAUCCACACAAAGCAAAAAACUUAACAUUGAAUUACUUUAAAUUCAACUCAAACACCUAUCAAAAUUCAACUCAGAACAGUCACAAUGUUUGGACGAAUAGACAUGAAUUUUCAGAAAAGGUUACACCUUUUAGAUGAACCUUUGCCACUUUUCAGAAGAGGCAUCUUGUGGCUAUAAAAAUCUGGUUUCAUCCACAGGUUUGAAUACAAAAUUUUUAGAUUAAAAAACUCUCUUUUUGUCUCAAAAAUAUUCUGUGUGAUUACUCAAAACGUUCUGUGAGUUCAAAGAUAUUCCAACCGUUUGAGGUACCGCUACUGUUGGUGUUGUUAGCCAUUUUAUCCUCGGAGGAAAAAUUCCACAACCUCGGGUACAGUGAGGGGGAUUAUUUCCUUAAGAAAAAUCUGUGAAUUCGGAUGACUUGGCUAUUUUCUGUUUCAUCUUAAUUUCUGCAAAAUAAAAUACACCUCUUGGAAAGGUCAUUUUGAUCUUGUGUUGAGGGUAUUUGAUAUACUUCAUUGUGUUCUUGCUUAUACUUGAACUCAAGUUGAAGUUGGUGUUGUAAUAUACAAAUUCUGUAUACCCGACUAUAAUGUGGGAAAUAACAACCUACAACCUAAACAAAGAACUAAGACAACUUAAGUAUUCCCUUUUCUAUGGAACUACCUGCAUAUACCCAAGAAAAGUCUGUGAAGAGAGCAAAGAAGGAAAAGAUGAAAAGGAAAAUGCAAGAUGACAUAGAUCGAUAAUAAUUUCCUAACAGUUAUACUAAUAGUCCACCAAAAGCAUAUGAAAAAUUGAAAUUUGAAACACUAAAACUCACUAUCGCAAUUUCUGUAGCUAACAAAGAGCAAAAAAAAAAAAACCCAAAUUCAGCUGAGUGAUGAGAACCAAAUCGAUCGACAAUAUACGAGAUUACCUAAAGAACAAAUAACUGAAUUGUUCUUAAACAAUCAUCUGUAAGAGCUCUAAUGGAACUCUUGUGAACUCAAAAGAAAAGAGAGAGAGUUGUUAUUGAUUUACUUGAGAGAAUUCUGUAAAAUGAUUGCGAUGGAGAAUCCAGCUACUUAUGCAGUUAUCCUAACUGAAUUUGGGAUUCAAGUUCAAAAGUCAGUUAUAACUAACUCCUGAACAGCUGGCAAUAGGUCACUGUGACUAGUCUUUAAGCUAAAAUUGAAUUACAAAAGCAACUAACUGAAAUGCUAAAAUAGGUCAUACACAACACCACAAAGAGAAAACAAAAGUAGGAACGUAUAUAAUGAUUUCAAUGGAAUCGUUAGCCAAUUGCAGGGGACCAAUUCCUGUGAGAAGAAGCUUGUGUAAACAAUGGGCAAAAAAAUACAAGUAGCGGUUUAAACAAUGAACUUGUGAAAAGAUUUAUUUGCCCUUGGAAGCAGGCAUGAUGACCGUGACCUGUUUCCAAGGCGUCGUCGAUUUCGCCUUUUCUGCUAAGGUAACUGUUUAGUUUGUUUGUGUUGUUUUGCAUUUACUGUUUUUAGGUGUUUUUUUUGUUUUGUUUGAUUUAUGCUGAGGAAUUUGUGUACUCUUGGAAUUCCAUGUACUGUUUGUCGAAACAGUCCUAAUUUAAGGUGUAAAGGAAAAAGGAUUUAUGUCUCUCUAAUCUGUACGUAGCUUUUCCAUUGAAAUAUCAGAUAUCAAAAUUUGUGUUUACCUGAUCAAAUAUUUCAUUCUCAGGUUAUGAAUCGAAUAAUUGAAUCCAAUUAGUAGUUGUGGUAUGGAGAAUUGGCUAUUUAGUUGUGAUAUUUCAUUCGCCUGCACAAUUGUUUAUACAAUUAAACAUUGCUUUCUGUUACUAGAUGUCGACAAACAAAAAACCAGCCGCCUUCACACCCCAUCGGCAACACGGAUUCAACGACACUGGCUAUUACGAACAAAGGUUACAGAAUUGGAUUGAAAAUCCAUACUGAAAACAACUUGACAUAUCUUAUACAAAAAUGGACGAUACAAUGGUGUGUGCAUGAUGCUGGGCCUCUUUUUUAGUCUAAUUUUGAUGGCUCGCUUUGCCAACGACCUCUAAUUAGGUCCUACACUCAUUAGUCCGACAAAGUGCAUCAAGUUGACUGCGACUUACACUAGGAUGGUGUUUGCAGCAUCGAAAGAAGCUCACUAUCAGGAUGGACAGGAAGCUAUGUGUAAGGCUGAAACUACUGGUAAUGAUGACUGCCCUGUUACAAUUAAACUUGUUACUCCUCCAGCAUGUGUGCUCGAUACUUGGACUCUUGACAAGGUUUCUUCAUCCAGCAUCACUUAUGGCGAUGAAUGAUGUAGCACCUUAUUUCUUUGGUUUUUUCUUUGGGUGAUAAGUUCUUAACAAUUGGUUGACAUCCAUUACAUGAAGAGCCCAUCGCUGUUGUAUUUAAUCCAGAUGAAACUUAAGGGGAACUCCGGAACUACUGAAAAGCUCAAAGCCUUGAACUUUUCUGCCACAAUUAUGAGAAUCGAGAGCUUUAUUCCAUUUUUUAGGAGAUCAUGUAAAAAAUUACAAUUUGGAAAAGCUAGAACUGAUGGGAGUUGUGUUGGUUUUUUGCUGAGUUAUGUACAUUUCACAAGUCCUGGAAAUUCAGCUGAAUUGAGACUUGGCAUUUUCUUCACUUGAGUUUUUCCAAGCAGACAUUAUAGCGACGCUAAUAUGGACAUUGAAAUUAGAUUUACACGGAAAAACUCUGAUGUAAUUCUAAUUGCUGCAUACAAAAUUGAUGGUUACAAAUUAUAGCUAGAUUACUAUUAUUGGGCCUACGCUAGCGUGGGCUUCUUCAUCUAGUUACUACUAGGAAAAAUUACACAAACUAGCAUACCUAAGACAUUAAUUACAAUUAAUAGCAAUAGUUUCUCAAAAUUACAACUAAUAGCAAAAGUAAUAAUAUUUUACCCUUUUUAUUGAGAAGAACGUGACUUUAACUCAUUACCCUCUUUUCACGCCACUUCCUUUACAUUACCCUCUUUUCAUGCCAAUUUAUCAGUUUCAAGUUUUCCCAAUGUCUUUCUUCGACAAUUUUUUUUUCAAAUUCCAUUUUUUCUCUCUUAUCAAUCUCCAUUUGAGAAGUUGAAGAAUUUUCCAUUUCUGUAUAGCCAUGGCUUUCAAGAACUUCAGCGAUAAAAACGUUGUUUUUCGAAAGCUCAAAUCCAAGCCUGAAAAUAAGAUUUCCUCUUUUAAUUUUUAUUUAACCUUUUUGGACUCUUUUAUAUUGAAUUUUGUUGAUUACAUAGAAUUUCUUCAGAUUUGUUUUAGAUCCGUUAAUUUUGGUUGAUUUUCUACAUGAUUUUUAAUUUCAAAUUUUGAUUUGUUUUGUUAGAUGUGUUUCGAUUGCAAUGCUAAGAAUCCAACUUGGGCAUUGGUGACGUAUGGGAUCUUCUUGUGUAUCGAUUGCUCCGUUGUUCAUCGCAGACUUGGCGUUCAUAUCAAUUUUGUUAGCCAAGGGAUGCCGUUUUCAUCGAUGGGUGGGCUGGUGGCUUCGAUUGGACUCGUCGGUUUCGGCAUUUCCCGAUGAAUUUUUGACAGAGGGAAGGUCUAUCCGGCGGAUUUCACCGUGACAGUGACCGACAACGGCAGUAAUUAAUGGUAUUUUACCGGCGAGUAUUAGCCUGGACCAUUCAUGUAUUCAUAAAAUAGAUAUGUAUAUGUUGUAAUAUAAGUAUAAUAUGUAUUCUGUAAAUUCAAAGUGCCACUGUUUUGAAAUGUAAAGUAUAUACAUGUCACAGUUUAGAUAUGUUUUUAUGAAUACAUAUUGCUAAGAUUUGUAUUUAUGUUAAGUUGUAUUUGUUGUUCAUUAAAUUUUGACUAUGAUAUGUACUUCUUUCUUCUUGAUAAGCAUGAUUUUUGUACCAGUUAUAUAUAAAUAAAAUACAUAUGUAUUUGAUUUGCUUGAAG